ACUACUUUGGCAGAUUAGUGCAGUAAAUUUAGAAUUUAUAAAUGUAAUUUUAAAUUACAAGUAGUA
rnacentral:tRNA from 1 species